CUUUUUAUGAGAGUUUGAUCCUGGCUCAGGACGAACGCUGGCGGCGUGCCUAAUACAUGCAAGUCGAACGCUUUUUCUUUCACCGGAGCUUGCUCCACCGAAAGAAAAGGAGUGGCGAACGGGUGAGUAACACGUGGGUAACCUGCCCAUCAGAAGGGGAUAACACUUGGAAAUAG
rnacentral:rRNA from 1 species